rnacentral:lncRNA from 1 species
CAACAACCAUUUUGUUAUGCCUCUCAGUUCCUGUGGGUGAGGGGGGGUCUCAUGCAGUUGUAGGCAGAUGGCAGCUGGGGCCAGGAAGGGGCGUAGAAGCAGCAGUGGGCUGGCCAGGUGCCUCCUCUCUUUCUCCCUGUGUGUAGUCUUAGGGUCUCUCCUUGUGGCCUCUCCCUGUGGUCUCUCUCUGUGGUCUCUGCCUGUGGUCACUCCCUGUGGUCUCUCCCUGUGGUCUCUGCCUGUGGCCUCUCCUUGUGGCCUCUUGCUAUGGCCUCUCGCUGUGGCCUCUUUGUGUGGGCUAGUUGGGCUGCCUCUCAGUGUGGUAGUUUCAGAGGCACAUGAAGGUUUCAAUAGGGAACAUUUUGGAAGAACAAGAGGAAAUGACAUCACUUUUGCAAUCUAACCUCAGGAGGCACACGGCAUCACUUCCACCAUAUUGUCUUAGUUACAAACACAUCACAAGCCCCUGGGAGUCAAGCAGGGUUCUGGAGUCCACAUCUUGGGUGAUGAUGUUCUAGAAGUAGCAUGUGGAGCCCCUGGACAAUACUAUCUACUCUGAGAGUGACCAGUGGGCUGCGUGGGCAUCAGCUGACGCCGGCUAGGGUCUGUGUAGUGACAUUGACAGUGCUUCCUGGGGGCCUCAUCCCCCACCAAAUGCACCCCAUCCUCUCGAUGUCUUCUUUCUUGGAAAAUUGAGGAGACCAUUCAUCUCAAAUCCCAGCUCUGCAGGAACUGACAAGAAGGCCAGCUGGGCGCCUGCAGAGGGUUGACCCAGGAACCAGGCAGAGCACAGUGGACGCCAGCUCCCCGGUGAUGGCGGCUGUGGACCGACAGCCAGACCGGGGUUGGGAGAGCCGCCGUCCUGUCUGCUCCAAAGCCUCGUCACGCCCCCGGGAUGAGCGGGUGCUGCUAAAACCACAAAUCCUGCAAAAAAAAAAAUAUGCCCUCCGUGUACUUCUCUCUCUCGAUAAGAAGAAUCGGAACAAGGCUGCUGCCACUCCCCCCAGGUGGAGCUAAGCUUUGAGCCACCUGCUGACACAGGCAGCAGCGUGCUUGCUCUCUGCUGGAUUCUUUCUUUUGCUCACAGGGAGAAGUGAAAGAACCACCUCUGGAUUCAGUUCCCUGCUGUGCCCUGUACGGCUGGGUGCCCUUGGGUGCGUUGCCUACCCUCUCUGAGCCUUGGUUUCUUUGUGUGUAAAAUGGACUGAUAAGAGCGCUUUCUGCACAGGCUGUGGGGGGAAGGCAUUAGCGCAUUUCCGACGUGGAAGAGGAGCAUUGCCGCUUUCCUUGGUACCACCUCAGGGAAACUCUCGCCCACAGCCGCCGCGCCUUCAGGCUCACUCUCCUCUGAUUCUAUUCUCUGCUCCUGGUGACGAG